rnacentral:rRNA from 1 species
AUUGAACGCUAGCGGCAGGCUUAACACAUGCAAGUCGAGCGAGCGGCGGACGGGUUAGUAAUGUACGUGCAACUGCCUGAUGGAGGGGGACACCUACUGGAAACGGUAGCCGAUACCGCAUACCAUCAGAUGUGCCGAUAUGGGAUUAGCUAGUAGGUGGGGUAAGGGCUCACCUAGGCGACGAUCCCUAGCUGGUGUGCGAGGAUGACCAGCCACACUGGAACUGAGACACGGUCCAGACUCCUACGGGAGGCAGCAGUGGGGAAUUUUGGACAAUGGGCGCAAGCCUGAUGCAGCCAUGCCGCGUGUGUGAAGAAGGCCUUCGGGUUGUAAAGCACUUUCAGCGAGGAGGCGUUACUCGCAGAAGAAGCACCGGCUAACUCCGUGCCAGCAGCCGCGGUAAUUC